rnacentral:rRNA from 1 species
ACCGGGAACCCGGCCAAUACCGCAUACGUCCUACGGGAGAAAGCGGGCCUCUACACUAUGCUCGCACUCGAGGAUGAGCCCACGUCCGAUUAGCUAGUUGGUAGGGUAACGGCCUACCAAGGCCACGAUCGGUAGCUGGUCUGAGAGGAUGAUCAGCCACACUGGGACUGAGACACGGCCCAGACUCCUACGGGAGGCAGCAGUGGGGAAUAUUGGACAAUGGGCGCAAGCCUGAUCCAGCAAUGCCGCGUGUGUGAAGAAGGCCUGCGGGUUGUAAAGCACUUUCAGUGGGGAAGAACGGAUACGGGCCAAUACCCCGCAUCACUGACGUUACCCACAGAAGAAGCACCGGCUAACUCCGUG